rnacentral:lncRNA from 1 species
GCGUGGCUGGUCUCGCGAGAAGAUGUAGCCGGCAGGGGUAGGGGCCAGGGCCCGGCCGGGAGCCGAAGGGCCUCGAAGGGCCGCUCUUAGGUGCUGACUUCUCGGCCUUGUCCUAAAGAGACUUCUUGUCCCAAGGAAUUUAAAGUGUCGCCCUUCUUGUGAACUGCACUUAACGAGCCGGGGUCAUUCAGAGACGGCGGCCCAGAGCACGUCAGGAGCACUCACUGAGGAAACCGGCCGGAAAACCAACGACGCAACUGCGUCCGCCCGGAAGCGCCGCGUUCCUCCGACGCCUUGCCCGACUGUUAAAGGGCUAAACGCCCUGUACCGAUUCGGCCGAGUCCCGAGUCGCUUCCUGUUAACUCGGCCUCCUGGCCGGUCCUGAGACUUGUCGUCUGGGCGAUUGCGUCAUGGGGUAGCUCCUAGCUUCCCGGACGCUGAAGCCUGGCCCCUGAGGCUUUCUCAAGGUUGGCACCUAUCCGGAAACCUCACACCCUAACUGGACCUACCAGAAUCAUAAAUAAGCAAGCCAGGAUUGAUUUGAAGCAAAUUGCAGACCUUCAAGCUGUUUUUAUCAAAGCGGGACUACUUAGUAAAACCGUUAUUACGGUUUGAUGUUAUGGGACAACGUUAAAUUCCUUGAGGGGCUUCAGAGUUGCCAUUUGCAGCCUGUCAGUUAAGUUCAGCAUUAGAGUUUGAUUCUGAUCUUUAACCCUGUUCAGGGCGGUCUGCCCUCACAAUCCAGAUCAGCACACAGCGGAAGUAUCUGACUUUCCAAUGAAUUGUAGUUUUUUAUUGUAUUUUAAUUGGGCUAUCUGCUCUGCACCCAGCCCCACUCUAAAGGUAAAAGCUACGAUCUGUGGAGUACACUGGACCCUGGUAGGUCCAAAGCAUUAGGUGGGAGCUCAGAAAAUAUUUGUCAAGUAGGUGAACUGUAUUUAAAUGAAACAAAAAGGCAUCGCAACUCUACAUUAAUGAGACAGCAGGUGCCAAUACCUCUUAAUCUAUUCAAGACACCAAAAUUAAUCAUUUUGCAGCUACUAAGUCAUGUGCAAUUUUAGUAAGUGUUGAAAAGUGACCUUUUCACCUAAGGCAUGAAUCCCCUGGGCUGGGGAUUGAACCCCAGACCUGCCUGGUAUAUGCUACAUAAUUGCUCAACCACAGAAGUACGCCUUCCAAUCCCAACUAUGACCUCAAAUAAAUCAAUGGGCUACCAAAGAAGGAAGACAUUGGAACAAGCAACUAAGUAAAUGGAUGUCUAACAGACAAGUUGGGGCUCCGAAGGAACUCAUUCGGUAAAGGAACUUGGUGCUAAGCCUGAUGCGACCUGAGUUCAGUCCCUAUAUGAAGAGAAGUUCAUUAUGUUACGGAAGUGUAACAGGGCCCAAGACUGCUGACGUCAUGAUAGAAGUACCAUUCAGGAUGUGGAACUCAGCACAUAGGCAGUACUGUCUGCCAAAUGAGACCAAGAACUAAUUCAUCAAGCCCUACAGCUCUGGGAAAGUGUAUGUGUGCUAGCUAAGCUGGGAAAGGCCGAGGACUACAUACUGGGAUCUGAAACUCCCAACCAGCUUGUAAAGAUUUCCAUUAUCCUGAACUGGGGUCCAAGCAGUCUUCUCUGGCAAAAACUCCACAGCAGAAAGAACAGAUUCUGAAAGGAUGUCCUCUGAACUCAACAGGGAGUUGGAGCAUUGAACCACUUCAUAACACUUAUGUAAACAAUAAGUGAAUAACUUCUUAAAGAAAUAAAAAUCGAACUAGAUUUGUUUGAUAAACAUUUUUUUAAACC